rnacentral:tRNA from 7 species
GCCCGGAUGGCGAAACUGGUAGACGCAAGGGACUUAAAAUCCCUCGGAGGCAACUCCGUGCCGGUUCGAUUCCGGCUCCGGGCACCA